CAGAGUUGAGCUGUCUCAGCCAUUGUGUGCCAGGGAAGCAUCACCUAGAGGUUUGGAGCAAAAUUGAGAGUAGGAUCAUUUGAAAUCAACAGGGUACAAAGUAAGCAGAGUAGCAUAGCUCCCAGCGGCACACUACUCGCUGCAUGACCCACAUUUAAACAGCAGCUUCCUGCUGAAGUCAGGCCAUAAAGGGAUGCCUGAAGGAAUCCUGAACAGGACAGGGAGGAAAGGUGGGAAAGAGAUGAAUACACAGUGUCUGGAGUUAAUAAACUUCAUUUCCUCCUAAGGCUCAUGGCCAUGGGGUAGAAAGAAGAAGGCUGAAGGCAAAGGGGUACCAAGGAAUAAAAGAUUGAUGAAGGCUGUGUUAAAGAAGUGGUGUUCCAGCUGAGCCUGAAAGCAAAGGUCAAGUUUGAAUUGAUAGAGGUGAGAAAAGAAGACAUUCUAGAUGAGAAGGGCAACGUGAGGCAACGUGAGGAAAAUCCUAAGGGUGAAAGUAAGCAGGGAAUCGGAGGCUUAGAAAAUUUUGGAAAUUACGCUGAGGCCACACAGCAAGUUUUGAGACCAAAAUUUAAAUCCAGAGGUCUUAUCUAUCUUGAGAAUCUAAACUCAUAACUCCGAGGAUUUCAUAAUGUAUCUUUCAGUUUAUCUUUAUUUAG
rnacentral:lncRNA from 1 species